rnacentral:rRNA from 1 species
CCUACGGGGGGCAGCAGUGGGGAAUAUUGCGCAAUGGGGGAAACCCUGACGCAGCAACGCCGCGUGAGUGAGGAAGUAUCUCGGUAUGUAAAGCUCUAUCAGCGGGGAAGAAAGAGGACGGUACCCGACUGAGAAGCCCCGGCUAACUACGUGCCAGCAGCCGCGGUAAUACGGAGGGGGCGAGCGUUAUCCGGAUUUACUGGGGGGAAAGGGAGCGUAGACGGCGUCGCAAGUCUGAAGUGAAAGCCCGUGGCUCAACCGCGGAACCGCCUUGGAAACUGGGAGGCUAGAGUGCUGGAGAGGUAAGCGGAAUUCCUGGUGUAGCGGUGAAAUGCGUAGAUAUCAGGAGGAACACCGGUGGCGAAGGCGGCUUACUGGACAGUGACUGACGUUGAGGCUCGAAAGCGUGGGGAGCGAAAGGGAUUAGAUACCCCGGUAGUC